rfam:Triticum urartu cultivar G1812 contig45502, whole genome shotgun sequence.
UAUGUAUUACCUCCGCCCCAAAUUAUUUGUCUUAAAUUUUUCUAGAUAUGGAUGUAUCUAACACUAAAACAUACGAUACAUCCAUAUCUAGACAAAUCCAAGACCAGUAACUUGGGGCGGAGCGAGUAGUUU